AGUGAACGCUGGCGGUAGGCCUAACACAUGCAAGUCGAACGGCAGCACAGUAAGAGCUUGCUCUUACGGGUGGCGAGUGGCGGGCGGGUGAGGAAUACAUCGGAAUCUACUUUUUCGUGGGUGAUAACGUAGGGAAACUUACGCUAAUACCGCAUACGACCUACGGGUGAAAGCAGGGGAUCUUCGGACCUUGCGCGAUUGAAUGAGCCGAUGUCGGAUUAGCUAGUUGGCGGGGUAAAGGCCCACCAAGGCGACGAUCCGUAGCUGGUCUGAGAGGAUGAUCAGCCACACUGGAACUGAGACACGGUCCAGACUCCUACGGGAGGCAGCAGUGGGGAAUAUUGGACAAUGGGCGCAAGCCUGAUCCAGCCAUACCGCGUGGGUGAAGAAGGCCUUCGGGUUGUAAAGCCCUUUUGUUGGGAAAGAAAAGCAGCAGGUUAAUACCCCGCUGUUCUGACGGUACCCAAAGAAUAAGCACCGGCUAACUUCGUG
rnacentral:rRNA from 1 species